rnacentral:rRNA from 1 species
CCUACGGGAGGCAGCAGUGGGGAAUAUUGGACAAUGGGCGAAAGCCUGAUCCAGCAAUGCCGCGUGAGUGAUGAAGGCCUUCGGGUCGUAAAGCUCUUUUACCAGGGAUGAUAAUGACAGUACCUGGAGAAUAAGCUCCGGCUAACUCCGUACCAGCAGCCGCGGUAAUACGGAGGGAGCUAGCGUUGUUCGGAAUUACUGGGCGUAAAGAGUACGUAGGCGGUUAUUCAAGUCAGAGGUGAAAGCCCGGGGCUCAACCCCGGAACUGCCUUUGAAACUAGAUAACUAGAGUCUUGGAGAGGUUAGUGGAAUUCCGAGUGUAGAGGUGAAAUUCGUAGAUAUUCGGAAGAACACCAGUGGCGAAGGCGACUAACUGGACAAGUACUGACGCUGAGGUACGAAAGCGUGGGGAGCAAACAGGAUUAGAUACCCUGGUAGUCCACGCCGUAAACGAUGAUAACUAGUUGUUCGGUCACUUGGUGACUGAGUGACGCAGCUAACGCAUUAAGUUAUCCGCCUGGGGAGUACGGUCGCAAGNUUAAAACUCAAAUGAUUGACGG